UUAUUUUUUUUCCUUUCUCACUAAUUUGCUUUUAAUUUUAUUUUGCCACCUGCUUCUCUCUCCCUCUUCUCCUUCCCAUUUGCCCCCACGUAUCUUCCACCUCCUAUGCCCCGUGUUUUAGAAGUCAAUAGAAAUCUAAUUAGUGCCCACCGCCACCUCUUCACCGCUUCUUGUAUCCAUUUCAGCUCCAUCCUACCACUUUUCUAAACCGAUUGAACGAUAAUCUCCUUUCGCUCUAAGGUUUAUUACCCCUCUACUUUUAACGAUUAUUGUUCCAAUCCACCUUCACUUAUCGUCUUCUUGACCAUCUCUCUUCACCUUCUACUCUGCCAUCACAGUCUCUCUUACGAGCCUCCUUCCAGUUUUUUCCACCCCUACCUUUUUCGUCUCUUCCGAUCCAUCUUCUUCCCCGAUUUUGCGUCAUCCCUGCAACGUGUUCGUCCUACGGUUCUUAUGCAUUGCAAUCAAUUUAACCCAGUUAUCGCCGCUUUUAAUCUAUCCCACCUCUCUCUAGCCCUCUAAGACCAUCUUACCUCUUUCUUCUUUUGACAGUACAUCACCGAGUCGCUGCCUUCACUUUCCAAUUAGAUCGUCGACCAUCUUCAAAGGCCCUCUGUGUGGACGUGUGGAGUGAUUAAUGGCUGCGGAAGGCUCGCAAGGAGAAGCGACAAUAGAAAGAGUUUCUAGCUACCACGAGAAGAGCACGUUUCCAUUGAUAAUCUUUGACUCGAACAAACAGAAUGAGAAAAGCUUUCAGCAUGUAAGAUGUCGUUUUUGAAAUACAAAAUGAAUUAAAGAGAAUUUAGUUUUUGAGGAUGUAUGAAUUAAUGGUGUCUAUUUUAUGAAGUAAAUUCUAAUUUUUGAGGAUGUAUGGAUUAAUGGUGUCAAUUUCAUGAGGUUAACUCUAAAUAAACUCCAAAUUUGUAGUCUGCAGUCAACAUUUUCACCUAACAAAAUUUAAUGAGGCUAGGCAGUUGCAAACUGUCGGCCCAUUCCCAUUACAUAUUUACUAAGUUAAAGUGUUGAAAUAAAUACUUAUUUCUAAAUUUGAGUUUUCCAAAUUUUAUUACUAAUUCUUAUUUCAACUUUUAAUUAGGGUGACUUUUAUUAAUAAUCAAUUAAGUUUUGCGCAGUUACUUAGAAUAGAAAAAGAGAUUGGGGAUCAAGCAAGAUAUGUUGCCCAUCACUGGAGGCAUUUCUGAACAGUUUCAAUGAAAAGGUAGUAAUAAUAGUGUAAUACCAAUACCAGUUUGUUGUAUUGUAUUGUAAUCUUACUUUUCUAGAUUUGAUUUGACCUUAUAUAUCCUCAAUUUUCAUUUUAACAUGAAACCUUAUAUAUUUAAUCUCAUGAAUUCGUAAAUUAAUAACCUGAUGGCCUAAAAAUCCAUUUCUUUUGUCUAUCGUCGUAUGCAUUGAUUUUGUUUGUUUUUCAGGGAUGACAUCUGCACUGCUGGGAAAAAAAUUCAUUCUAGGUUGACAAUAUAAUAAGAGAUUUCAGAAACCAUGAGGCUUAUUCAAGUGAUUGUCUUACUAUUUAUUGUUGAUUCCAACCCAGUUUUCUGUAAUCCUAUUUGUUUAGAUUGAUAGAUAUAAUGUUUUCUCUUCCUUCACUGAUGAUAGUUUUUUUUCGUUUCAUGCAUGAUAAACUCUAGACUGCUUCAAAAAUGUUGAUGAACAGGUAAAAAAACAUCUAAUGUUUGUCGCCUUAACGCCUUUCAUACAUGAUAAACUCUGUUACUGACCUUCUUCACCUCACUUCUCAGUUCUUGGAUAACACCUUUCAUACAUGAUAAACUCUGUUCUUUCUUUUCUCAAGCAUCUAAAAAUCUAAAGAUUGGUUUUUCUGACAGAGACUGAUUUCUACAGGCUCCUUGGAGGGGUGAUUUUUUUUAUUCGGCUGUUGACGGAGGGUUAAUUCAGAUAAGGUGAUGUAGAAAUGGAAUAUGGUCGUCUGUUCUAGCUUACUAGGCAUUCAUGGUCGGAUCAAUCCAUAGGAGAAUCGCAACUUAAAAACGUCUGAUGAAAGAAACAUCCACCGACUCUAUGAAUUUUUUUAAUCGGCUUGAUUCUUUUAGUAUGCUAAUUUAAGCUUUUACUGAGUUUUAAGGACAAGGAAUUGGAAAGCUUAAAAGAAGUUGUAAUGAAGCGUGAUGAUAGAGGAGAGUCAAAGGGAAAGUUUGAGAUUACCUGUUACAAUCAAUGAGCAACAACUGACAAAUUUACCUAAUUUACCCUUGUAGGAUUUGCAAUUUUUCCUAUUCCUUCUAUCAGAUUGAUUUCCAUUUAGUUCUUUGGAUUUAGUUGUACCGAAUACAUAUCCGAUCCCCACAACGCGGGGAUCCUUCACUAGUUUAUCUUAUUUAAAUUGAUAGAAAUUGUUAUUUCUGAGGUUUUUAAUUGUCAUCGUACAAUGAGUGAGAUGGCAAACGGGCAACAAGCU